UACGUAGGAGGCAAGCGUUGUCCGGAAUCAUUGGGCGUAAAGCGCGUGUAGGCGGCUUGGUAAGUCUGCUCUGAAAGCCCGGGGCUCAACCCCGGGAGGCGGGUGGAUACUGUCAAGCUCGAGUCCGGAAGAGGAGUGUGGAAUUCCUGGUGUAGCGGUGGAAUGCGCAGAUAUCAGGAGGAACACCGGUGGCGAAGGCGGAUCUCUGGGCCAUAACUGACGCUGAGGAGCGAAAGCAUGGGGAGCGAACAGG
rnacentral:rRNA from 1 species